rnacentral:rRNA from 1 species
ACUCUAGGCGGUGGAUCACUCAGCUCGUGCGUCGAUGAAGCGCAGUGCGGCGUGAGUAAUGUGGUGCAGGACACAUUGAACUUAUCGACAUCUUGAACGCCAUUGCGGCUUUCUCCCGGAGCCACGCCUGUCUGAG